AUGGACACGUCCACAUGGCACCUGUUUAACUCCGUUCAUGCCUGCUGGGCGAGCACAUGCACCACGGGCACCACCGACAGAAAAGCAAAGGCAUCGAUUACCAUGCUAGUGUCAUGAGUCAUCUGGAAUGAGCGCAACGCAAGAGUGUUCAGGCAAAAGAGCGCGCCUCCGCAAAUCUUGCUCAGCAUCAUUGAAGACGAGGCAAACCUUUGGAUCAAAGCUGGGGCAAAGAAACUAGGGUCUUUUUUAUUGCGAGAAUAA
rnacentral:rRNA from 1 species